UCCCAAACACUUCAGCCCCCAGCACUCCAGCUGGCAGUGCAGGCUGUGCAGCAUGGACAGCCCCCAGCUGGCUAUGGAAUACUCCUGGGGAAGAGGAAUUGCCACCGCCGGAUCUGGACAUGGUGCUUGAGACGCUGGAGGAGAUGUUUUCUCCCUCUGCUCAGGGGAAAAUUAAUGUUGCCCCUGAGUCUUCAGGGGGGGAGCCUGUGGACAGAGCUGCAGCAGAGGGAGCUUUGCCUGGCACCAAGAGCUGCAGGAACAAUUCCCAGGAGCCCGAGGAGCUUGAUAUCCACCUGAUCUACCUUGCCAGGAGGGCUGCCCUGCGUGAGAAGAAGAAUCAGAGGGAGAGCCUGUGACCAUCGAGCAGGUGGAAUCUCUCCAUUUAUAUACAGAUUUCUAUAAGUCUAUUUGUAUAUCCCUAUAGUUAUAUUUGUAGAUUUAUACAGGUGUGUUAAUAUAGUAAAUCAUUAUAUAUAAUUUUAAUAUAUAUUUAUUUUUAAAUAUACAUAUUAUAAAUAUAUAUAUUCAUAUAUAUUUAUAUUAUAUAUAUAGUUAUAGAUUUAUACAGUUGUGUUUAUAUAGUUAAAUCAGUAUAUAUAUUUUUUUAAUAAUUGCAUCACAUUUAUACAUGUUUCGGAAUUAUAUUUAUAUGUAUGUAGUUCCAUUCAUAGAUUUUGAGAUUUAUUUUUAUAUGUGUAUAGAGUAACAUACAUAUAUUUAUAUAUAUGUAUUAAAGUGCAUAGCUAUUUAGUUAGAGGUUUGUGGCAACUUAGAUGCAUAGAUUGAGCUGUGUAGGCCUAGGCUGCAUUUGUACCUCUUUCCCCCCUCGGCUGCCUUUUUCACCUCUUGCUUUUCCCCCGGUGCCCCCUGUGUCCCCUGUCCCUGUGCUGGGUCCGAGCUGGCGGCCGGGCCGGGCGGAGCAGCACUUCCAGCCCCGGCUGUCCCUGGAGCGGUGGGAGCUGCCGCUGGCCCCAGGCACUGUCCCCUGAGGAGCUGCUGAAGGACGCUGCAAGGAAGACCUUGAGGACAGCCAGAGACUGACGGGAGGCAGCAGGGAGGAGCUGAAGGCCAGCAGCAAGAGCAGUGAACGGGGACCUGCUGCUGCCAGCCUGGAGAGAGCCCGGAUGUCCCAACUGCUGUCACUGUCCAGGAGAGCUGCUCUGCACGGGAGGAGGGAGAGGCUUUGAAGAUGGGGCAGCUGGGAUCCCUCUGCUUGGAGUGCUGUUUAAAGAUACACGGACUUUCACAGGGACAGGGGUUAUUUCAUGUGUAUUUCCAUAUGUGGGUUGCUAUUUGUAUAGGUAUAUUUCUAUUUAUUUGUAAUUAUAUGUAUGGAUGUAUGCUAUGUCUAUGUAUAUUGUUCCAUUUCUAUCUAUUUAUUGAUAUUUACAUAUGUGUCCAGAUGUAUAGCUCUGUGUUUGUAUUCAUGCAGCUGGAUGGAUAUUUAGCUUGGCAGAGUGAUAUUGGUAUAUAUACUGAUAUAUUUAUUUUUUAAUAUGUAUAUUUUAUGUAGUACGUGAUGUUUAAUCUGUAUUUACAUCUGUAGAUUGUUAUAGUUAUGUAUGUAUUUAUAUAUGUGCAUAUACAUAUGUAUUUAAUUCUAUUUAAAGAUGUAUGCAGGGUAUAGUUGUGUAAUUCUAUUGAAUUCUUAGUGUGGGCCUAUUUAGAGAGGGAAUGUGUAUUUUUGUAUUUCUAUAUGGGCUCUACAUUUGUAGCAAUAGGUAAUAAAUUAAGUUGUUAAACACCUAAUUGAUCUUUGUGUAUAGUGAGUUGUGUAUAGUAGAGGUUGGCAAUAAAUUAAGUUUUGUUUAGUGAAUUUGGUAUUUGUAUAUUUUUACAUGGACUGGUUAUAAUAAUCUAAUAAA